rnacentral:sRNA from 1 species
CAAUUCAUACGUUAGUUGAGGAACAACUUCAGGCUGGUCAUACAGAACCAACACUUAGUCCUUGGAACACCCCCAUUUUUGUUAUCAAGAAAAAGGUAAUUUGAGGUUACUACAGGAUUUAAGGGCAAUAAAUCAUGUGAUUCAGCCUAUGGGAUCAUUACAGCCAGGACUUCUUUCCCCCACAGCCAUCCCUUUAAACUAUAGCUUGGUGAUAAUAGAUCUAAAAGAUUGUUUUUUCUCAAUAAGGUUGCAUCCUGAAGAUUGUAAAAAAUUUGCCUUCAC